rnacentral:lncRNA from 1 species
GAAAGCCCAAUGCAUGCUCCCUUCUUUCGCGUGCAUGAAUGAGAAGAGAGGGCACCAAAAAUGGGCACCCCUCUUCCUCGAUCUUCUCUCUCUAUCAACUUUUAUCUUUAUCCAUUAAUUUAAGUUUGAAUUUGAUUUAAACUUAAAUUUAAACUCUUGAUGGAUAGGAUAAAGAGGUUGGGGUAUUGGAUUUAAAUAAGGGAGCAUUUUGGGACGCC